rnacentral:rRNA from 1 species
UCGCCUGUUUUAACAAAAACAUCACCUCUAGCAUAAUAAGUAUUAGAGGCACUGCCUGCCCGGUGACUCCAGUUUAACGGCCGCGGUAUCCUGACCGUGCAAAGGUAGCAUAAUCACUUGUUCCCUAAAUAGGGACUUGUAUGAAUGGCUUCACGAGGGUUUUGCUGUCUCUUACUUCGAAUCAGUGAAAUUGACAUUCCCGUGAAGAGGCGGGAAUAAGAAAAUAAGACGAGAAGACCCUAUGGAGCUUUAAUUAACUAACCCAUAUUACCCUGAACAAAUCUCCCUCCAGAGAACAAACCUGUUUUAACUGAGUUAGUAAUUUAGGUUGGGGUGACCUCGGAAUAAAACCUAACUUCCGAGAAAAACUUAUCAAGACCUACAAGUCAAAAUUACAUUAUUACACACUGAUCCGUCAAAGACGAUCAACGAAACAAGUUACCCUAGGGAUAACAGCGCAAUCCUAUUUAAGAGUCCAUAUCGAAAAUUAGGGUUUACGACCUCGAUGUUGGAUCAGGACAUCCCAAUGGUGCAGCAGCUAUUAAUGUGUUCGUUUGUUCAACGAUUAAAGUCCUACGUGAUCUUGAGUCCAAACCGGA